ensembl:lncRNA
AGAAUCUGCCUGCAAUGCAGGAGGCCUGGGUUUUAUCCCUGGGUUGGGAAGAUCCCCUGGAGAAGAGCAUGGCAACCCACUCCAGUAUUCUUGCCUAGAGAAUCCCCAUGGACAGAGGAGCCUGGUGGGCUGCAGUCCAUGGGGUCGCAAAGAGUCAGACAAGACCGAGCGACUCAGCACAUUUUCACAGUUAGACAAUCAUAAGCCUGAUUGAGUGUUGGGCUGAACAUCCUUUCAAGAAAGCUGCAAUUAUAAAUUUUCAUGAACUAAGUGUUCAAAGAGAAAUCACAAAUUAUAGCCAUCCAGCAACACAGACCUCGUGAACUGCUCACAGGCUGUCACUCCACGGACAGGACAUGGAAGCAACCUAAAUGUCCAUCAACAGAGGAAUGGACAAAGAAGAUAAUGUAUGUGUACAAUGGAAUAUUACUC